UACGUAGGGUGCGAGCGUUAAUCGGAAUUACUGGGCGUAACGCGUGCGCAGGCGGUUCGUUAAGUCAGAUGUGAAAGCCCCGGGCUCAACCUGGGAACUGCAUUUGAAACUGGCGGGCUAGAGUACGGUAGAGGGGGAUGGAAUUCCGCGUGUAGCAGUGAAAUGCGUAGAUAUGCGGAGGAACACCGAUGGCGAAGGCAAUCCCCUGGACCUGUACUGACGCUCAUGCACGAAAGCGUGGGGAGCAAACAGG
rnacentral:rRNA from 1 species